rnacentral:misc_RNA from 1 species
GAUGAAGAACGUAGCGAAAUGCGAUAAGUAAUGUGAAUUGCAGAAUUCAGUGAAUCAUCGAAUCUUUGAACGCACAUUGCGCCCCCCGGUAUUCCGGCGGGCAUGCCUGUUCGAGCGUCAUUUCAACCCUCAAGCUUUGCUUGGUGUUGGGCGUCUUGUCUCUAGCUUUGCUGGAGACUCGCCUUAAAGUAAUUGGCAGCCGGCCUACUGGUUUCGGAGCGCAGCACAAGUCGCACUCUCUAUCAGCAAAGGUCUAGCAUCCAUUAAGCCUUUUUUUCAACUUUUGACCUCGGAUCAGGUAGGGAUACCCGCUGAACUUAAGCAUAUCAAUAAGCGGAGGA